rnacentral:rRNA from 1 species
GAUGAACGCUGGCGGCGUGCCUAAUACAUGCAAGUCGAGCGAACGGACGAGAAGCUUGCUUUUCUGAUGUUAGCGGCGGACGGGUGAGUAACACGUGGAUAACCUACCUAUAAGACUGGGAUACCUUCGGGAAACCUGAGCUAAUACCGGAUAAUAUUUUGAACCGCAUGGUUCAACAGUGAAAGACGUUCUUGCUGUCACUUAUAGAUGGAUCCGCGCUGCAUUAGCUAGUUGGUAAGGUAACGGCUUACCAAGGCAACGAUGCAUAGCCGACCUGAGAGGGUGAUCAGCCACACUGGAACUGAGACACGGUCCAGACUCCUACGGGAGGCAGCAGUAGGGAAUCUUCCGCAAUGGGCGAAAGCCUGACGGAGCAACGCCGCGUGAGUGAUGAAGGUCUUCGGAUCGUAAAACACUGUUAUUAGGGAAGAACAUAUGUGUAAGUAACUGUGCAUAUCUUGACGGUACCUAAUCAGAAAGCCACGGCUAACUACGUG